GAGCGGUAGAGAGAAGCUUGCUUCUCUUGAGAGCGGCGGACGGGUGAGUAAUGCCUAGGAAUCUGCCUGGUAGUGGGGGAUAACGCUCGGAAACGGACGCUAAUACCGCAUACGUCCUACGGGAGAAAGCAGGGGACCUUCGGGCCUUGCGCUAUCAGAUGAGCCUAGGUCGGAUUAGCUAGUUGGUGAGGUAAUGGCUCACCAAGGCGACGAUCCGUAACUGGUCUGAGAGGAUGAUCAGUCACACUGGAACUGAGACACGGUCCAGACUCCUACGGGAGGCAGCAGUGGGGAAUAUUGGACAAUGGGCGAAAGCCUGAUCCAGCCAUGCCGCGUGUGUGAAGAAGGUCUUCGGAUUGUAAAGCACUUUAAGUUGGGAGGAAGGGCAUUAACCUAAUACGUUGGUGUCUUGACGUUACCGACAG
rnacentral:rRNA from 1 species